rnacentral:rRNA from 1 species
AGCUUGCUCUCGGGUGACGAGUGGCGGACGGGUGAGUAAUGUCUGGGAAACUGCCUGAUGGAGGGGGAUAACUACUGGAAACGGUAGCUAAUACCGCAUAAUGUCGCAAGACCAAAGAGGGGGACCUUCGGGCCUCUUGCCAUCAGAUGUGCCCAGAUGGGAUUAGCUAGUAGGUGGGGUAACGGCUCACCUAGGCGACGAUCCCUAGCUGGUCUGAGAGGAUGACCAGCCACACUGGAACUGAGACACGGUCCAGACUCCUACGGGAGGCAGCAGUGGGGAAUAUUGCACAAUGGGCGCAAGCCUGAUGCAGCCAUGCCGCGUGUAUGAAGAAGGCCUUCGGGUUGUAAAGUACUUUCAGCGGGGAGGAAGGUGUUGUGGUUAAUAACCACAGCAAUUGACGUUACCCGCAGAAGAAGCACCGGCUAACUCCGUGCCAGCAGCCGCGGUAAUACGGAGGGUGCAAGCGUUAAUCGGAAUUACUGGGCGUAAAGCGCACGCAGGCGGUCUGUCAAGUCGGAUGUGAAAUCCCCGGGCUCAACCUGGGAACUGCAUUCGAAACUGGCAGGCUGGAGUCUUGUAGAGGGGGGGUAGAAUUCCAGGUGUAGCGGUGAA